UUGGAUACUUCUUAUAACAAGAUAGGUGAUGAAGGUGCAAAAUCUCUUAGUGAAGCUUUGAAAAGUGAGAAUUGUGAGCUUACUAAAUUGUCUCUUUCUCAUAUCAAGAUAGGUGAUGGAGGUGCAAAAUCUCUUAGUGAAGCUUUGAAAGUGAAAUUGUAAGCUUACUGGAUUGGAUCUUUCUCACAACAAUAUAGGUGAUGAAGGUGCAAAAUCUUAUAGUGAAGCUUUGAAAAGUGAGAAUUGUAAGCUUACUAAACUGUCUCUUUCUCAUAACAAGAUAGGUGAUGAAGGUGCAAAAUCUCUUAGUGAAGCUUUGAAUAGUGAGAAUUGUAAUCUUAGUAAAUUGUCUCUUUCUCAUAACAAUAUAAGUGAUGGAGGUGCAAAAUAUCUUAGUGAAGCUUUGAAAAGUGAGAAUUGUAAACU